rnacentral:rRNA from 1 species
UACGGAGGGUGCGAGCGUUGUCCGGAAUCACUGGGCGUAAAGCGCACGUAGGCGGAUCUUUAAGUCAGGGGUGAAAUCCCAAGGCUCAACCUUGGAACUGCCUUUGAUACUGGGGAUCUCGAGUCCGGAAGAGGUGAGUGGAACUGCGAGUGUAGAGGUGAAAUUCGUAGAUAUUCGCAAGAACACCAGUGGCGAAGGCGGCUCACUGGUUCGGUACUGACGCUGAGGUGCGAAAGCGUGGGGAGCAAACAGG